rnacentral:rRNA from 1 species
ACGCUGGCGGCGUGCUUAACACAUGCAAGUCGAACGAUGAAGCCUAGCUUGCUAGGUGGAUUAGUGGCGAACGGGUGAGUAAUACGUGAGUAACCUACCUUUAACUCUGGGAUAAGCCUGGGAAACUGGGUCUAAUACCGGAUACGACCAAUCUCCGCAUGGGGUGUUGGUGGAAAGCGUUAUGUAGUGGUUAUAGAUGGGCUCACGGCCUAUCAGCUUGUUGGUGAGGUAACGGCUCACCAAGGCGACGACGGGUAGCCGGCCUGAGAGGGUGACCGGCCACACUGGGUCUGAGACACGGCCCAGACUCCUACGGGAGGCAGCAGUGGGGAAUAUUGCACAAUGGGCGCAAGCCUGAUGCAGCGACGCCGCGUGAGGGAUGACGGCCUUCGGGUUGUAAACCUCUGUUAGCAGGGAAGAAGAGAGAUUGACGGUACCUGCAGAGAAAGCGCCGGCUAACUACGUGCCAGCAGCCGCGGUAAUACGUAGGGCGCGAGCGUUGUCCGGAAUUAUUGGGCGUAAAGAGCUUGUAGGCGGUUUGUCGCGUCUGCUGUGAAAGGCCGGAGCUUAACUCCGUGUAUUGCAGUGGGUACGGGCAGACUAGAGUGCAGUAGGGGAGACUGGAAUUCCUGGUGUAGCGGUGGAAUGCGCAGAUAUCAGGAGGAACACCGAUGGCGAAGGCAGGUCUCUGGGCUGUAACUGACGCUGAGAAGCGAAAGCAUGGGGAGCGAACAGGAUUAGAUACCCUGGUAGUCCAUGCCGUAAACGUUGGGCACUAGGUGUGGGGGACAUUCCACGUUUUCCGCGCCGUAGCUAACGCAUUAAGUGCCCCGCCUGGGGAGUACGGCCGCAAGGCUAAAACUCAAAGAAAUUGACGGGGGCCCGCACAAGCGGCGGAGCAUGCGGAUUAAUUCGAUGCA